rnacentral:lncRNA from 1 species
UUACUGCUGGUCCUGGGAGCCUUUUCCUUCGGAGCAGCAGCCCUGUCCGGCAUCUGUCUUGAGCUCCCAGCAAGGAAAGUCCAUCAGCUUGAUAAUGGAGGAGAACAAUGACUCCACGGAGAACCCCCAACAAGGCCAAGGGCGGCAGAAUGCCAUCAAGUGUGGGUGGCUGAGGAAGCAAGGAGGCUUUGUCAAGACUUGGCAUACUCGCUGGUUUGUGCUCAAGGGGGAUCAGCUCUAUUAUUUCAAAGAUGAAGAUGAAACCAAGCCCUUGAGGAAAAAGUGUAAAAUCAUUCUGUACAGAAGAAUCUAUAAAAAAGAAUCUUCCUCCUACGCCGCACACCCCAAAGGACUUUGGAUACCUAUUAGAAAGGAUUUUAAAACACAUUUGAACUGAAUUCAUGACAAUAUCUGUUCUGGCAUGUUUCAUCAAUCAUGACAAAUGACCAUGGCCUUGUCAAUACAAUAACAUGGGGGGAGCAGCCAAGUCAGAGAUGAAGUAUGAUUAUAGUUAUCUUAAAAAUAAGGCAAUUGUGCAGGUUUUGUUAAGUGAAUCCAGUGAUAAAUUUUCCUAAUGGUUUUUCAGGCCCACCUAUUUUACUUCUAUUAUGUAGCAUAUUAUUACUUAAAUAAAAGCUAAGUCUCAAGCUUGGCCAUACUAGAGAAAGCCUCUGACAUACCCCUGUGCUAGAAUUUGACACAGCAGGGCAUCGAUUUUUAGAAGCCAGUCUGAAACUCCUGAUAAAAUGACUAAAAUCUAAAUAAGCACCAACCCAAUUAAUGUGGUCUAGACUUUCUACAACAGAUAUUGAUCCAAUUAUGUGGGGAAGGUUUUUUCUGUGCCUGAUCAAGAUGACACUAUAUUAGAUCACAAUGGAUUUUCUUAACUUAGAGGACAAAGUGAUUCUGAGUGAAUUAUAACCUGAGGGCUGACCUCUAAAUGUGCAAGGAUUGAUUGCUGAUUUAAGAGUAAGCUCUAGGCUGGGCGCA